ACACUCCUGCGGGAGGCAGCAGUGGGGAAUAUUGCACAAUGGGCGCAAGCCUGAUGCAGCCAUGCCGCGUGUAUGAAGAAGGCCUUCGGGUUGUAAAGUACUUUCAGCGGGGAGGAAGGCGAUAAGGUUAAUAACCUUGUCGAUUGACGUUACCCGCAGAAGAAGCACCGGCUAACUCCGUGCCAGCAGCCGCGGUAAUACGGAGGGUGCAAGCGUUAAUCGGAAUUACUGGGCGUAAAGCGCACGCAGGCGGUCUGUCAAGUCGGAUGUGAAAUCCCCGGGCUCAACCUGGGAACUGCAUUCGAAACUGGCAGGCUAGAGUCUUGUAGAGGGGGGUAGAAUUCCAGGUGUAGCGGUGAAAUGCGUAGAGAUCUGGAGGAAUACCGGUGGCGAAGGCGGCCCCCUGGACAAAGACUGACGCUCAGGUGCGAAAGCGUGGGGAGCAAACAGGAUUAGAUACCCGUGUAGUCCCAUGA
rnacentral:rRNA from 1 species